rnacentral:ncRNA from 1 species
GGCUUCUUGCAUCGCCCCGUCGCACGGGUGAGCGUAUGGACGCAUUGCGCUCACUCAUGGGGUAGUCGCACGAUUCACCCCGGUUCCGGAGGU